rnacentral:rRNA from 1 species
GUGACGAUAGCCUAGGAGAUACACCUGUACCCAUGCCGAACACAGUAGUUAAGCCCUAGAACGCCGGAAGUAGUUGGGGGUUGCCCCCUGUGAGAUAUGGUAGUCGCUUAGC